CCCCUGUGAACAUACCAAUUGUUGCCUCGGCGGAUCAGCCCGCUCCCGGUAAAACGGGACGGCCCGCCAGAGGACCCCUAAACUCUGUUUCUAUAUGUAACUUCUGAGUAAAACCAUAAAUAAAUCAAAACUUUCAACAACGGAUCUCUUGGUUCUGGCAUCGAUGAAGAACGCAGCAAAAUGCGAUAAGUAAUGUGAAUUGCAGAAUUCAGUGAAUCAUCGAAUCUUUGAACGCACAUUGCGCCCGCCAGUAUUCUGGCGGGCAUGCCUGUUCGAGCGUCAUUUCAACCCUCAAGCCCCCGGGUUUGGUGUUGGGGAUCGGCGAGCCCUUGCGGCAAGCCGGCCCCGAAAUCUAGUGGCGGUCUCGCUGCAGCUUCCAUUGCGUAGUAGUAAAACCCUCGCAACUGGUACGCGGCGCGGCCAAGCCGUUAAACCCCCAACUUCUGAAUGUUGACCUCGGAUCAGGUAGGAAUACCCGCAAAACUUAAGCAUAUCA
rnacentral:rRNA from 1 species